ensembl:lncRNA
GUCCCAGUUACUCAAUUCUGCCAAUGCAGUAUGGAAGUAACUAUAGACAAUCCAUACACAGAUGAACAUGGCUGUGUUCCAAAACAACUUUAUUUGCAAAAGCACAUGGAAAUGAUUUGAAUGACUGUGCUCUCAGUUCUCCAGAAGAUGGCAAAGACCCAGAGCAGGGGUUCUCAAAGGGUGUUCCUCAGUCAGUCCUGUACCACUGGCGUCAUCUGAGAACCUGAUGGAGAGUCAUUGUAGAAACAACAGCCUGCCUCCUGCUGCAUGUGGUAAGAAUGUGGUCUGUGAAGACACCAACCUACAGAAGAAGUGAACACAAGGAGUACACAGAUGAAAGUAUCAGAGAAACGAAGUUGCAUCCCUAAAGGAGCCACUCCAAACUCACCCUACGUCUAGAUGUUCCAUUUACUUGAUCCAGCUUUAGGUGAAUUCUCCAGCUUUUCCAUCUGAAAUCACAAGAAAAAAUGAGGCCACAGAGAGGUAUCAGAAGGAAAACAUGUUUCUGAGGGCCUGACUGAACUGCUCUCCUUUCUCCCUGAAGAUCUGGGCAAUGCAGACCCUCCCUUCAUCACCAGAAUGUCUGGUGGGGGACAGCACAGGCAUCCUGCACCCCAGCUGCGUGUCAGGCCGGCUGCAAUGCUUGUUUAUUAGUGAAAUGCAUCUGAUCAGAGAGGCCAGUCUGACAAGUUCAUUACAUAUC